rnacentral:lncRNA from 1 species
GUGGGAUCAAUCCAUACUCGUCAGACGUGCUACAUUGUACAUCGUACGCUUGCGGUAAAUUUAAGAUACAUCAAUGUACUCUUACAUCUCACCUGCAUGCCAUACUAGUGUUUCUACACUAUUUGGUUACGAAGACAACCAAUGCAUAUGGCACACAACGACCUACAUUUGAUAUUGCUAUCAUCCUAGUAAUAGCGUAUCGUUUGGUCAUGAACUAAUUUAAGGACUAUG